GAUGAACGCUGGCGGCGUGCCUAAUACAUGCAAGUCGAGCGAACGAACGAGACGCUUGCUUUUCUGAUGUUAGCGGCGGACGGGUGAGUAACACGUGGAUAACCUACAUAUAAGACUGGGAUAACUUCGGGAACCCGGAGCUAAUACCGGAUAAUAUUUUGAACCGCAUGGUUCAAAAGUGAAAGACGGACUAGCUGUCACUUAUAGAUGGAUCCGCGCUGCAUUAGCUAGUUGGUAAGGUAACGGCUUACCAAGGCAACGAUGCAUAGCCGACCUGAGAGGAUGAUCGGCCACACUGGAACUGAGACACGGUCCAGACUCCUACGGGAGGCAGCAGUAGGGAAUCUUCCGCAAUGGGCGAAAGCCUGACGCAGCAACGCCGCGUGAGUGAAGAAGGUCUUCGGAUCGUAAAGCUCUGUUAGUUGGGAGGAACAUAUGUGUAAGUAACUGUGCACAUCUUGACGUUACCUAAUCAGAAAGCCCCGGCUAACUACGUG
rnacentral:rRNA from 1 species